CUUUCAACCCGCCUCAAGCUAGGAGGGGCGUUGAAAC
rnacentral:other from 1 species